rnacentral:rRNA from 1 species
GAAAAGAAACCAACAGGGAUUGCCUYAGUAACGGCGAGUGAAGCGGCAAAAGCUCAAAUUUGAAAUCUGGCACCUCCGGUGUUCGAGUUGUAAUUUGGAGAGGCAUCUUCUGGAGGGGCCCAGCCUAUGUGCCUUGGAACAGGACAUCAUAGAGGGUGAGAAUCCCGUACUUGGCUGGAUGUUCCCUCCUGUAUGUAGUGUCUUCUACGAGUCGAGUUGUUUGGGAAUGCAGCUCAAAAUGGGUGGUAAAUUUCAUCUAAAGCUAAAUAUUGGCGAGAGACCGAUAGCGCACAAGUAGAGUGAUCGAAAGAUGAAAAGCACUUUGAAAAUAGAGUCAAACAGUACGUGAAAUUGUUGAAAGGGAAGCGCUUAGGACCAGACUCAGCCUUUGGUGGACAUCCGCCCAUCGGGGCGGUGCACUUGUCAUUGGUUGGGCCAGCAUGGGUUGGGACGGUGGGAUAAAGGCUCGGGAAAUGUGACUCCUUUAUGGAGUGUUAUAGUCCCGGGUGGCAUGCCACCAGUCCCGACUGUGGAACGCGCAUCGGCACGGAUGCUGGCAUAAUGGUUUUCA